CAAAAACAUAGCCCUGUUGUAGUACAUAAUCGGUAAUUUCUGCUCAAUGAUAAUAUUAAAUAGCCGCAGUACCCUGACUGUGCAAAGGUAGCAUAAUCAGUUGACUUCUAAUUAAAGUCUAGAAUGAAUGAAUAUAUGAGGGGUAAGCUGUAUCAUUUACUUUUCCAAAAGUUACUGAGAGGGUGCAAAUUCCCUUUGUUUAAUAAAAGACGAGAAGACCCUAGAAAUUUAUAUUAAACUUUUGUUGGGGCAACAUAGUAACAGUGUCAACUUACUAUAUGUGCGGGAAGUAGUGCGGAUUGACAAAAUUACUCUAGGGAUAACAGCAUAAUACGAAAGUGUUUGUGACCUCGAUGUUGGAUUAGGAAGUUGUAGCUUAGAAAGUACCCAUAACGCUCUGUUCGAGCA
rnacentral:rRNA from 1 species